rnacentral:tRNA from 1 species
GUUGUGGCUCAGUGGGAGAGUGCUUGCCUGGCAUGUGUGAGGCCCUGGGUUCAAUCCUCAGCACCACA